CAAUCUGAUUUUAACAAACUAGUAGAUGGAUAGCUUGGUUUGGACUGUGAUGAAGGACGUGGCAAGCUGCGAUAAGCUCUGGGUAGGUGCAUGCGACCAUUGAACCAGAGAUCUCCUAAUGUGACAACAUGUUAUUCAUACAGAAAUGUAAAUGUACGCCGGGAAUUGAAACAUCUUAGUACCGGCAGGAAAAGAAAGCAAUUGCGAUUCUCUUAGUAGUGGCGAACGAAAAGAGACAAGGGCAAACCGAAUCUCCGUCGGAAACGACGGCAGAGAUGUGGUGCAGAUGAAUUGCUAAGUUGAUGAGUUGAAGUUUUCUGGAAAGUGACGCUUUAGAGGGUGAUAGCCCCGUAAACUAAAUCAAUAUGUAGUUCUGCGAAAGAGUAGGGCUCCUUAGAUAAGGGGUCUGAAUAUAGGUGGAUUAACACCUAACCCUAAACAUUAGUCCAAGUCCGAUAGUGAACUUAGUACCGCGAGGGAAAGCUGAAAAGUACUCUUAAUAGAGUGUGAAAAGACUUGAAAUCUUCUAGUGACAGCUGGUUACUGCUCUGUCUAUGACGGGGUUGUAACGUACGUUUGGAAAAAUGGGCCAAGGAGUUUGCUUAAGUGGCGAGGUUAGCGAAAGCAGCCAUAGCGAAAGCGAGUGUGAAAGCGCGUUAGUCACUUGGGUAAGACCCGGAGCCGGAUGAUCUAUUCGUGGGCAGGCUGAAGUUUUUCGAAAGGAAAAUGGAGGGCCGAACCGGUGUUGUGCGCAUGCACUCGAAUGACCUGCGAAUAGGGGUGAAAAGCCAAUCUAAUUCGGCGAUGGCUGGUUCCUGUCGAAAUAUGCCUAAGUAUAGUCUUGUUUAGUUAGACAGCGAGGUAAAGUACGGAUAAGGUUUGCAGGGCCGAAAGGUUACGGAACCCCUUCCAACUCUGAACUUGUUGCCGACGUAAAACAGGAAUGGCGGGCGGUGCGUAAGGUACUGUUCGAAGACCCGAACAAGGGAGACUGGAGUUAAGGUCCUAAAAUGUAUGCUAAGUGUAACAAAAGGUGUCUUGAACCUAAGACAGUGGGGAUGUAGGCCCAGAAGCAGCCAACAUUCAAAGAAAGCGUAAUAGCUCACCUAUUGAGGUUCGAGGCCCUGAAAAUGGACGGGGCUAAGCAUACUACCGACACUCCAGAGGCUUUCGAAAGAAAGUUCUGGUAGGCAGGCGUCUUUUCUGCGUAGAAGGUUUUCCGAGAGGAAGGCUGGAGCGGGAAGGAAUGAGAAUCUUGGCGUUAGUAAGAUCAGAUUACUCUGAGAAUGAGUAGCACCGCAAGAGCAAGGUUUCCUUGGCAAUAUCGUUUAACCAAGGGUUAGUCGGCGCCUAAGUUGUAUCUUAACUGAAUACAGCGAAUGGAAAUCCGGUUAAUAUUCCGGAACUUGUUAGUCUUUGAUAUGUGAUUUGCUUUGGGAUAGGCAGGUACCCGAAAGGGUGCUGAGCUAUAGAAAUCUGUGGAUCGUAAUGAAGCGAAGCAGAAGAAUAUGGUAAGGGAAAGCUGUUGAAUCCGAGGGUCCAUGAAAAGUCAUAUAUCGCGUGGGACUAUCAAGCCGUACCCAGAAUCGACACUGAUGCUCUGGCUUAGUAGGCUAAGGUGUGAAAGGACAAACUGGUUUAGGGAAUUCGGCAAUCUAGCCCUGUAUCUUCGGUAUAAGGGGUGUCUAUAGUUGUGCUUGAUAUGUAGAGUGCAACAGUAGAUCGCAGUGACAAGGACUGCCCGACUGUUUAUCAAAAACGUAGCUGAUUGCUAAUCCGAAAGGACUUGUAUAAUCGGUGAGAUCUGCCCAGUGGCGGUGUUUCAAACCUGGGUUCAACCGGGCUAAGACCCGCUAAACGGCGGGCCUAACUAUGAGGCUCUUAAGGUAGACAUUACAUGCCUUACGGCACAGAAAUGUGGCGCUCUAAGUCUUGUAGUUUUGUAUGAUAAAUAGUUAUAGCAGAAGACAAAAUAUUUUGAACAUUUUUUUGUUCUUCCGCUAAUAGUCUAAGACAAAUACUGUUCAAUUAUAAAUGUCUUAGACUAUAGUCGAAUUAAACCAAAAGAGAAAAUCGAGCUAUAUGCUGGAAAAUCUGAGUAUCCCACUCUACGACGACAACAAACAUUUUUAUUGUUGGUUCGCGUUAAAAUGAGAUGGGUGCAGACAAUCAGCAGGAAAGACUAGAAGAUGAAUAAAUUUAUAUCUUAGUUUAUCUAAGAAUUUUUAUGGAUUGUAUGAUUUGCGGAAUAGUUUCUAAAAAGAAAAAUUUUCCCAUGCCCAUAAUUUAUGAGGGAGAAAAUUGGAUAGUUAAUCAAGCGUAUCCUUCUAAAAUUAGAGGUUGGUUGGUAAUCUCCGUAAAAAAGCAUAGAAAGGCAUUUCAUGAGAUUACGAUUAAAGAAUCUCUUGAAUUAAGUAAGAUUUUACUGAUGUUAUCUAGAGCUUUGAAAGAGACUACUAAAUGUAAAAAAGAAUAUAUUCUUUCUACAAAUGAGGGUAUUGAGCAUUUGCAUUUUCAUAUAGUUCCAAGAGAAAGAAAAUUUAAAAAAGAAUGGAUUGGAUUAAAGAUAUAUAAUGCAAUUAGAAUUGAAGAAAAAGAUUCGAUAUCUAAAAAAGAACUUAUUCAAUUUAGCAAAAUGAUAAAGGAAAAAAUAAUUUUCUAGAAUCCUCAGAGACUAAUACGCUCGACACUAAUUAAUUAGUGAAGAUAGAGUCCGAGCUUUAUGGCGACAUAAAGAAUUGCAGUUCGCUCGACAGAUGAAUUGCAGAUUAACAUUAAUGAGCGUAAUGCCUUGUCGUCUGAAUGGCGACGUGCAUGAAUGGUUUAACGAGGUAGUCGCUGUCCCAAGCCAGGUCCUUCUGAACUCACUUACCGGUGAACAUGCCGGUGACGCCUAGUGGGAAGCGGAGACCUUAUGAACCUUUACUACAACUUGUUGUUGUGAUGUUGAGGAGAGUGCAUAGAAUAAGUAGGAGCGUAGAUGUUUAUCUUUAGGGAUAAACGGAGCGAUAAUGUAAUACUACUCACCCUUCUUGGCAUUACUUACCUGAGAGGGGACACCAGCAGGCGGGUAGUUUGGCUGGGGCGGCACCCUGCAGAAAAGAUAUCUGUAGGGCCCAAAGACAAGCUCAUUCGGGUUGGAAAUCUGAAGGAGAGUGCGAGGGCAAAAGCUUGUCUAACUGUACUUCGAAAAGCAAGAUGUGCAGAGAUGAAAGUCGGGCCUAGCGACCCCACGUAGUUUCUUAAUAGGACUCGUGUGUGACAGAAAAGGUACUCUAAGGAUAACAGGCUCGUCGCCCCCGAUAGUCCGUAUUGACGGGGCGGUUUGGUACAUCGCUGUCGGCUCUUCCUAUCCUGGUAGUGCACAAGCUACCAAGGGUGUCGGAGUUCACGCAUUAAAAGGGAUCGUUAGCUGGGUUAAGAACGUCGUGAGACAGUUUGUAUGAUAUCUACUAGGCGCGUUGUUGUUUGAGUGGAACGAGGACAAAGUACGAGAGGAACUGUCCUCGGGUGCCUCUGGUCAGCAGUUGUUAUAAGCAGGCUGCUCAGCUAUGCACUGUAUGGAUAAGUGCUGAAAGCAUCUAAGCACGAAGCCAGCCGCAAGACGAAACAACAUAGGCCGCAGAAGAAGACUGCGUUGAUAGAGUUGGUGUGUAAGAUUCAAGGCAACGAGAAUUUAAGCAUGCAACUACUAAAAGCCACAAUUAUCAAUUGU
rnacentral:rRNA from 1 species